rnacentral:rRNA from 1 species
UACAGAGGGUGCAAGCGUUGUUCGGAAUUAUUGGGCGUAAAGAGCUCGUAGGCGGCUUGUCGCGUCGACUGUGAAAUCCCGCGGCUCAACCGCGGGUCUGCAGUCGAUACGGGCAGGCUAGAGUUCGGUAGGGGAGACUGGAAUUCCUGGUGUAGCGGUGAAAUGCGCAGAUAUCAGGAGGAACACCGAUGGCGAAGGCAGGUCUCUGGGCCGAAUACUGCGCUGAGGAGCGAAAGCGUGGGGAGCGAACAGG